rnacentral:sRNA from 1 species
AGUGGAUUUUGCGUGGGAAGCAUUUCAGGGCAUCCUUCCGAAAGGAUGGCAACCUCUAAUCGAGGCCGGAUCCUGAAUCCCAGAAAUCCACUUUUUU